AGUCGAGAAUCUUCGGCAAUGGGCGAAAGCCUGACCGAGCGACGCCGCGUGCGGGAUGAAGGCCCUCGGGUUGUAAACCGCUGUCGUAGGGGAGGAAGGCUCUGUGAAGAACAGGGUUUGACCUAUCCUAGGAGGAAGUACGGGCUAAGUUCGUGCCAGCAGCCGCGGUAAUACGAACCGUACAAACGUUAUUCGGAAUCACUGGGCUUAAAGGGUGCGUAGGCGGCCAUGUAAGUGAGGUGUGAAAUCCCUCGGCUCAACCGAGGAACUGCGCUUCAUACUGCAUGGCUUGAGGGAGACAGGGGUAAGCGGAACUGAUGGUGGAGCGGUGAAAUGCGUUGAUAUCAUCAGGAACACCGGUGGCGAAAGCGGCUUACUGGGUCUCUUCUGACGCUGAGGUACGAAAGCUAGGGGAGCGAA
rnacentral:rRNA from 1 species